rnacentral:rRNA from 1 species
GACGAACGCUGGCGGCGUGCCUAAUACAUGCAAGUAGAACGCUGAAGAGAGGAGCUUGCUCUUCUUGGAUGAGUUGCGAACGGGUGAGUAACGCGUAGGUAACCUGCCUGGUAGCGGGGGAUAACUAUUGGAAACGAUAGCUAAUACCGCAUAAAAUGGAUUAUCGCAUGAUAAUGCAUUGAAAGGUGCAAAUGCAUCACUACCAGAUGGACCUGCGUUGUAUUAGCUAGUUGGUGGGGUAACGGCUCACCAAGGCGACGAUACAUAGCCGACCUGAGAGGGUGAUCGGCCACACUGGGACUGAGACACGGCCCAGACUCCUACGGGAGGCAGCAGUAGGGAAUCUUCGGCAAUGGACGGAAGUCUGACCGAGCAACGCCGCGUGAGUGAAGAAGGUUUUCGGAUCGUAAAGCUCUGUUGUAAGAGAAGAACGAGUGUGAGAGUGGAAAGUUCACACUGUGACGGUAUCUUACCAGAAAGGGACGGCUAACUACGUGCCAGCAGCCGCGGUAAUACGUAGGUCCCGAGCGUUGUCCGGAUUUAUUGGGCGUAAAGCGAGCGCAGGCGGUUAGAUAAGUCUGAAGUUAAAGGCUGUGGCUUAACCAUAGUACGCUUUGGAAACUGUUUAACUUGAGUGCAAGAGGGGAGAGUGGAAUUCCAUGUGUAGCGGUGAAAUGCGUAGAUAUAUGGAGGAACACCGGUGGCGAAAGCGGCUCUCUAGCUUGUAACUGACGCUGAGGCUCGAAAGCGUGGGGAGCAAACAGG